rnacentral:tRNA from 8 species
GCGGAAGUGCUGGAAUUGGCAGACAGGCAUGAUUCAGGUUCAUGUGUCGGCAACGACGUGUGGGUUCAAGUCCCAUUUUCCGCA